ACACAACAAUAGUACAUUUAGUGGUGGAGCACGAGACUCUUAAUCUCAGGGUUGUGGGUUUGAGCCCCAUGUUGGGCA